rnacentral:rRNA from 1 species
UUUAAAUGGCCGCAGUAUAUUAACUGUGCAAAGGUAGCAUAAUCAUUAGUCUUUUAAUUGAAGGCUGGUAUGAAUGGUUGGACGAGAUAUUAACUGUUUCAUAAAAAUUUAUAUUAGAAUUUUAUUUUUUAGUUAAAAAGCUAAAAUAUAUUUAAAAGACGAGAAGACCCUAUAAAUCUUUAUAUUUAUGUUGUUAUAAUUUUAUAGAAUUUUUUUGUUGUAAUAAUUUAUAAUAUUUUAUUGGGGUGAUAUUAAAAUUUAAUUAACUUUUAAUUUUAAAAAAUCAUUAAUUUAUGAAUAAUUGAUCCGUUAUUAACGAUUAAAAAAAUAAGUUACUUUAGGGAUAACAGCGUAAUUUUUUUGGAGAGUUCAUAUCGAUAAAAAAGAUUGCGACCUCGAUGUUGGAUUAAGAUAUAAUUUUAGGUGUAGUCGCUUAAAUUUUAAGUCUGUU